rnacentral:rRNA from 1 species
GAACCUGCGGAAGGAUCAUUACCGAGUGCGGGUCCUUUGGGCCCAACCUCCCAUCCGUGUCUAUUAUACCCUGUUGCUUCGGCGGGCCCGCCGCUUGUCGGCCGCCGGGGGGGCGCCUUUGCCCCCCGGGCCCGUGCCCGCCGGAGACCCCAACACGAACACUGUCUGAAAGCGUGCAGUCUGAGUUGAUUGAAUGCAAUCAGUUAAAACUUUCAACAAUGGAUCUCUUGGUUCCGGCAUCGAUGAAGAACGCAGCGAAAUGCGAUAACUAAUGUGAAUUGCAGAAUUCAGUGAAUCAUCGAGUCUUUGAACGCACAUUGCGCCCCCUGGUAUUCCGGGGGGCAUGCCUGUCCGAGCGUCAUUGCUGCCCUCAAGCCCGGCUUGUGUGUUGGGUCGCCGUCCCCCUCUCCGGGGGGACGGGCCCGAAAGGCAGCGGCGGCACCGCGUCCGAUCCUCGAGCGUAUGGGGCUUUGUCACAUGCUCUGUAGGAUUGGCCGGCGCCUGCCGACGUUUUCCAACCAUUUUUUCCAG